GGAGUUUGAUCCUGGCUCAGGACGAACGCUGGCGGCGUGCCUAACACAUGCAAGUCGAGCGGAGACAGUGAGUAGCUUGCUAUGAGCUGUUUUAGCGGCGGACGGGUGAGUAACGCGUGAGCAACCUUUCCCAGACAGGGGAAUAACACACCGAAAGGUGUACUAAUACCGCAUAAGACCACGGGAUCACAUGGUUCUGAGGUAAAAGAUUUAUCGGUUUGGGGUGGGCUCGCGUCCGAUUAGGUAGUUGGUGAGGUAACGGCCCACCAAGCCGACGAUCGGUAGCCGACCUGAGAGGGUGAUCGGCCACAUUGGGACUGAGACACGGCCCAAACUCCUACGGGAGGCAGCAGUGGGGAAUAUUGGGCAAUGGGGGGAACCCUGACCCAGCAACGCCGCGUGGAGGAAGAAGGUUUUCGGAUCGUAAACUCCUGUCCUUGGAGACGAGUAGAAGACGGUAUCCAAGGAGGAAGCCCCGGCUAACUACGUGCCAGCAGCCGCGGUAAUACGUAGGGGGCAAGCGUUGUCCGGAAUAAUUGGGCGUAAAGGGCGCGUAGGCGGCUCGGUAAGUCUGGAGUGAAAGUCCUGCUUUUAAGGUGGGAAUUGCUUUGGAUACUGUCGGGCUUGAGUGCAGGAGAGGUUAGUGGAAUUCCCAGUGUAGCGGUGAAAUGCGUAGAGAUUGGGAGGAACACCAGUGGCGAAGGCGACUAACUGGACUGUAACUGACGCUGAGGCGCGAAAGUGUGGGGAGCAAACAGGAUUAGAUACCCUGGUAGUCCACACUGUAAACGAUGAAUGCUAGGUGUAGGGGGUAUCGACCCCUUCUGUGCCGCAGUCAACACAAUAAGCAUUCCGCCUGGGGAGUACGGCCGCAAGGUUGAAACUCAAAGGAAUUGACGGGGGCCCGCACAAGCAGCGGAACAUGUGGUUUAAUUCGACGCAACGCGAAGAACCUUACCAGGUCUUGACAUCCACUUAACUUACAGAGAAGUAAGGUGGCUUGCACAAAUGAGACAAGUGGUGCAUGGUUUCUUCACUCCUGGCCGGGAAAUUUGGGGUAAAUCCCCCACAAAGCGAACCCUUAUUCUCCGUUCAAACCCCGUAAAGGUGAGGCCUCUUAAAGAACUCGCCGGGGACACUCCGAGAGAGGUGGGGGCAAACCCAAAUAUAUUGGCCCUUUAAACUGGGGGGACACACGGUCCAAUGGGCCCCCCAAAGAGAAGGGAUUUCCGGGGGAAGGGGAAUCAAAAAAGUGGUCCCAGUUCGGAUUGUGGGCUGCAACCCGCCCACAUGAAGUCGGAGUUGCUAGUAAUCGCGGAUCAGCAUGCCGCGGUGAAUACGUUCCCGGGCCUUGUACACACCGCCCGUC
rnacentral:rRNA from 1 species